UGAACCUAUGGCAUGAAUGCCAGAAUAUGCUUAUGACUCCACAUCAGUCACUCUAACCUCUACCUCACCUUAGCUGCCUCAGAGGAAGGCUUCCAGUAUCCUGGGCAUAUAUGUGUGUUGGUGGUUGUCCAUUGUACUUAAGUAAAGAAGACCAAAAUGACAUCACGAUGUUGGUAGGAUCAAGGUACAGUGUGUUCAACUGUGGCUGAUCAGAGCAAUACAAGCUCCGAGGCUGUAGCCCAGCUUGGGCACAAAUCGCCGCAUGAACCCUGGAGCUGGAGAUGUUUCUAAAUUUGCUCAUCUCACAUUCUCUUGGAGCUACUGCAGUUCUGUUUUGCUCACAGAGCACAACCCCUCCUUCCUUCUUUGAUGCUGGACAGUCCUGGGCCAGAUAUGCAUGUACUGUACGUAGGGCUUAGGGAAAGGUGCCAGGACAAGAAUCUCAAGAGAUGUGAGGAGUGAAUGGGGCAGCUGACAGCAUCUGUCACUGCCUGGAGUGAAGGCAGGGUUGGAAUGAUUCUUCUGAACCAAGCGAUCCAGGGAAAAAAAUAAAUCCAUGUUUCACUGAUUCCCCCUUAGGGUCUUGGUUCAGAUUCUACUUCCAGGAUUCUUGCAAGAGUGAACUGCUUCUCCAGGAGAGAACAGAUGAUGAGCAUCAAAGAAGCAGAAAGAUGGGAGGAGGCUUCUCUUCUCCAGUCAUUGGGAGAGGAUAGAAAAGAUCAGAAUCUGGAGAUUAAUAUCUCUAGAGUAAAUAAAGAAGAGAGAGGUCGAAAGCUUCAUCAGAAUCCAGAUCAACGUCCACAAGUAUCUGGUGGUCGCCAUCCUCAGCAUCCAAGUGGCCACUGUCCCCAGGCACCUGGUCAUCAUCUCCAGGUACCUGGUCACCGUCCCCCUGUUCCUUGUCAUCGUCCGCAGCAGCAGCAACAGAAGCAGAAAAGGCCUUCUCCGAAAGUCCCGCAGCAAACUGGCCCUCCUUUGCCUAGACCUAGAAAUCAGCCAAAGCCUCCUCACCAAGAAAAGGGGAAAUGAUAAUUAUUUCUCCUGAGGAAGUUUCCUCUUUGGUCCAUCUGUGAAUAUUUGUAAAAAGAUUGUUCCAAAUAAACAAUACUGCAGUUUUCCCUCUUCA
rnacentral:lncRNA from 1 species